CGUAGGGCCAUACCACCCUGAACACGCCCGAUCUCGUCUGAUCUCGGAAGCUAAGCAGGGUCGGGCCUGGUUAGUACUUGGAUGGGAGAAAACCACAGCCCUGACGC
rnacentral:rRNA from 1 species